CCUACAGGGGGCAGCAGUGGGGAAUAUUGGGCAAUGGGCGCAAGCCUGACCCAGCAACGCCGCGUGAAGGAAGAAGGCUUUCGGGUUGUAAACUUCUUUUCUCAGGGACGAAGCAAGUGACGGUACCUGAGGAAUAAGCCACGGCGAACUACGUGCCAGCAGCCGCGGUAAUACGUAGGUGGCAAGCGUUAUCCGGAUUUACUGGGUGUAAAGGGCGAGUAGGCGGGAAAGCAAGUCAGAUGUGAAAGCCAUGGGCUCAACCUGUGGCCUGCAUUGGAAACUGUUUUUCUUGAGUACUGGAGAGGCAGACGGAAUUCCUGGUGUAGCGGUGAAAUGCGUAGAUAUUAGGAGGAACACCAGUGGCGAAGGCGGUCUGCUGGACAGCAACUGACGCUGAGGCGCGAAAGCGUGGGGAGCAAACAGGAUUAGAUACCCGAGUAGUC
rnacentral:rRNA from 1 species